rnacentral:lncRNA from 1 species
UCUUUCCUCUAAGGCUGGAUUCAAUCCGAGUCCGACCAAUAAAUCCUCUAUCCUAACCUUCCACAUUGAGAAGCUUUUCUUUCCAUCAAACUUUUCAAACUCCACCUUCAGCUCACUGCUUAUAGUCAGCACCAACCACAAUCAUAACAAAAGUAGAUCAGAUUUGAGAAGGUAUACCUUGGUAGAGGCUGUACAAAUUUUUCUUUCCUUAGAGAACUUCCUUCC